GACGAACGCUGGCGGCGUGCUUAACACAUGCAAGUCGAACGGAAAGGCCCUGCUUUUGUGGGGUGCUCGAGUGGCGAACGGGUGAGUAACACGUGAGUAACCUGCCCUUGACUUUGGGAUAACUUCAGGAUACUGGGGCUAAUACCGGAUAGGAGCUCCUGCUGCAUGGUGGGGGUUGGAAAGUUUCGGCGGUUGGGGAUGGACUCGCGGCUUAUCAGCUUGUUGGUGGGGUAGUGGCUUACCAAGGCUUUGACGGGUAGCCGGCCUGAGAGGGUGACCGGCCACAUUGGGACUGAGAUACGGCCCAGACUCCUACGGGAGGCAGCAGUGGGGAAUAUUGCACAAUGGGCGGGAGCCUGAUGCAGCAACGCCGCGUGCGGGAUGACGGCCUUCGGGUUGUAAACCGCUUUCGCCUGUGACGAAGCGUGAGUGACGGUAAUGGGUAAAGAAGCACCGGCUAACUACGUG
rnacentral:rRNA from 1 species